rnacentral:misc_RNA from 1 species
UUUGUUCAAGAUCGUUAAUUAACUCCUCUUUGUCAAUAGGCAUAUUGUCCAUAUCAUCUUCACCUUCAUCGUCUUCAUCAAAGCUAUACAAAAGUGCAUCCUCAUUCAAGAAAGGCUUCAGAAACUCAUCAUCAUUCCAAGGAAGCUUGCCAUUAUCAAAACUAGCAACUUCGUGCAAGUGAUUCAGUAAAUCUUCCUUUGACCGACAUACAAUGCCACAACUCCAGCAUUUGUUCCCAGCAACCUUAGACCUAACAUAAUUAAUUAGCUUAAAGCAGCCAUAAAAAUCCAAGGCAAGCGA